rnacentral:lncRNA from 1 species
UUUCUGUGGUUUUUUCCCCUUAAAGUAAGGGUGGAAUUGAUAUUUUACAACUUAACUAACUGUCAACUAAUGAAAAAGUAGUAAUAUGUAAUAUUUUUUAAUUCUUUAAUAGUAAAAUGUUAUGAUGUGAUACUUAUUGCACCGAAUUGUUAUUUCACAAUAACUAAGUAGUAAAAAGAAAAUAAACCUUUUAUUUAAUAUUAAUUUUAAUACAAAAAGUCAUUUUUACCCUUCAAUAAUGACAUUUUUCGUUAAUAUUUUAAAGUCAGAGACGAAUCGUGAUAUUGAAAAUUUAUGCAAACAAAUAGAAUCCGAAUGGUAAAAAAAAUUGAUGGUAAUUCUUCUACAAACGAAGCAUUUUGGAAGAUUACAAAUGACACGAGGAGUGAGAAAUUAACAAUAAGAGCAAGGGCCGCCCAAAUCCGAGGCCCAAGCCCAGCUAAGGCAGUUGCCCGAAGAAUGCACACCCAAUCCAGGGCCCUAAUACGUUUUAGGCUGUUUAUUGAUAAACCUUAAGAAAAUCAUGAAAAUAAAACAUGUUCAUGCAUCUUAACAAAGUCCUGAAGUUACAUUUAACUUGACGCCAGGAAAAACUCACUAACUGAUUUUCUUGUCCUUACUAUCUUGUUACUCAUUUUUACAUUGCUUUGCCUGGCUGUAACUUAAACAAACCUUUUAACAAAUAUUUAAAGACUUAGAAUCUUAAUAAACAUAGCAAGACUCACGGUGUAUUUUUUUUUAAUUUUUAAAAUCAGCCAAUCAUAUCUAAAGAUGGCUAAUGGGCUGUGUUAAGUGUUACCCUACAGGCCUACGAGCACAGUCUUAUUAAAGUAAUUUUUAAAGAUAAGUAAUUGAAUGUCAUUAUUGUAGCUCCUAUUGACUCAAACAAAAAUAAAUUAAAGGAAGAAUUUUUUUUUUUUUACACUUACCUAAAACUCCUAUAAUUGCAUCCGCACGAGGGUUCUCUUAUUUGUUACAGAAUUCGUAAUCUUUUUAAAUAAUCGAGUUCGGAUUAAGGUAGCGUUUACUUUUUGAAUUGGAUUGGGAAUCCUGAGGAGUGGGAAUCCUAGGAUUGGGAGUGUGGAGUGGGAGUGAGAGUAGGUUGUUUACUUACACUGGAAUGGAAGCAUGGAAUGGAGAUCAGAAUCCAAUUUAUGUGUUUACUUUAUCUUGGAUUGGGAGUAAAUAGUUUCAAAUUACAAUUUUAUCCUUAUUUAAAGAAUUAUAAUUUUUAAUUACAAAACUAAUAAAAAAAUAUAUUUAAUGAAUAAUAUUUAUUUUAUUAUAUCUGUAAAUUUAUUAUAAUUAUUAAUAUUCUUAAUUAUGAACAAUAAAUUAUUAAUUGUAAUUUUAAUAUAAAAUGAAAUGUUAUUUUAUUUUAUUUAAUAUAAUUAUAUUAAAUUUAUUAUUAUAUAAAAUAAUAAUAUAAUAUUAUUUAGUACAAAAUUAAUAUUUUCUUAGAAUAAAGUAUUUAUUAUUAUUAUUAAAUAAAUAUAGUACUAUUAUUUUUAAAAUAAAUAUAAUAAUAUUAUAUUUAUUAAUUCUCUAUUAAUAUAAUAAUAUUAUUUUAAAAUAAUUUUAACUUAGAAUCAAUGUAAAUUAUUAUUUAGUUAAAUAUAAUAUUAUUAUUUAAAUAAAUAUAAUAUUAUUUAUUUUAUUUUAUUAAUUAUAUAACAUAAAAUAAAAAAAGGGUAGAAAUGGGAGAGGUGGGAGUGGAUUUCCACUCCCACCUCCCCCAAUGGGAGUCCCACUCCCACUCCCCACUCCAAAAAUGAGUGGGGCCCACGGAGUGAGACUCCCAAUCCCUCCCCAUUUUAAGUAAGUAAACACUGGAGUGGGAGGAAUCCACACUCCUCACUCCCACUCCAGCAAGUAAACACAACAUAAGUGGAGUGAUGAUCCUUCGAAAAUGGACCCGGAUGAGCCUUAGAUAUCAGUGUUCCAAAAAAUAAAAAGUCAUUUUACUCCUUUUGGGGUCUGUUCAGUGCCCAAUCUUAGGGAGUGCAUUACUUUUCAAAGAUAGAGUAAUCCUAGUUUGCCUGGACGAAACUACCCGAAUUUCACCAGACAAGCCGGAAGCUAUAGGCCUUGGGAAGGCUCCUACCGGAUGGUUUAGAAAUAGCAUGAAAUGAAUUAUAAAAUCUUAAUACAUACAUCAACUCUUAACCUUCAAAGCCACAUCAUCGACUAAUCCAUCAUCACGUUAUAGUCAACCUUUUAAAUAUUUUUGGCAACAGAUUGUUCAACUAAUUAUAUGGUUAUCAUCUGCAUAAGCGUCAAUAAUUCUAUCCUAAUAAGACAACUUUUAGCAUGCGGCUAAAGUAAUAAAUUAUGUCUCAGCCAUAAAUCUAAUAGCAUUAUUAUUCUAAUCUCAACAAAGCUCCUGAU